rnacentral:lncRNA from 1 species
GCAGAGGGCUAAGCUGGACUACCUUGGGCAGCAACGCAGCCACUUGGUCUUUGAGGUUGACCAACUCCGAUGUGCUAAAGAAUCCUACAUUUAGGAAGGAGACCGUGUACCAUGGCUAACUUGUAUGUGAGGAUACUGCUGCAGAGAACUGCCUGUCGAGUCUGUUUCCCAAAAAGUCAUAGAUAAGCUCAUUCAGAAUGUCAUGUGGAGCUCUCCUCUGUGAGGAUGGCUCUCACAGUGACACCAGAUCGUGUCCGUGUGUAACAGGGUUUGUGCAAUAUGUAGUAAAUGUAUAAAAUGUAUUAUAUACAAGGUAUUUGAUACAAAGGGUGUUAUGUGCAUGCACUUCUGUACUUUUCAUAUGCUGCUUUCUUGUCCUCAGGCACUUGUUUCUAUAGACAAAGAAUCUUUACUUUUAACAUUACAGCAAAUGUCAUGCCCAUGUUCACAUUUUCUGUGAGCCACAUGUAGGCAGAAAUGUCUGCGCCUCUGAUGCGUCUUCCCCUAAGCAGGCUUAUAACAACUAAUCAGCAUCAUAGAAGAGAACAGACUGAAAGACUGUACUCGGUGUGUGAGCUGUCAGCCGCGCUGGGCGAAGGUUUUUCAAUCAUGUAACGGAAUGUGAGUGGCGCGGUGGAAAUGCGUUCUGUCAGUAUUAACUCACGCAGAGCACUUUGAGCCUCUGCAGCUCAGUGAUGCCUUGUGAGGCUGUGUGGAGGUAUGUGAUGUCGUAUGCACUGGGGAGUCUUGUAUAAGUCUUCAGUGCAGUUCAUUUAUUAUUCACAAUAAACUGUCCCCUUCUUUAGACAGUUC